rnacentral:rRNA from 1 species
GGACCCGCACAAGCGGUGGAGCAUGUGGUUUAAUUCGAUGCAACGCGAAAAACCUUACCUACUCUUGACAUACUUGGGAGCUCUUGUAAUGAGAGUGUGCCUUAUGGAACCAAGAUACAGGUGCUGCAUGGCUGUCGUCAGCUCGUGUCGUGAGAUGUUCCGUUAAGUCGGAUAACGAGCGCAACCCUUACCCUUAUUUGCCAGCGAUUCGGUCGGGAACUAUAAGGGGACUGCCGGUGAUAAACCGGAGGAAGGUGAGGACGACGUCAAGUCAUCAUGGCCCUUACGAGUAGGGCUACACACGUGCUACAAUGGGGAAUACAGACGGACGCUAAGCCGCGAGGUGGUGCUAAUCUCAAAAAGUGUUGCUCAGUUCGGAUUGCAGGCUGCAACUCGACUCCGUG